rnacentral:rRNA from 1 species
AACGCAUGCAGUUCGAGCGGUAGCACAGAGAGCUUGCUCCUCGGGUGACGAGCGGCGGACGGGUGAGUAAUGUCUGGGAAACUGCCUGAUGGAGGGGGAUAACUACUGGAAACGGUAGCUAAUACCGCAUAACGUCGCAAGACCAAAGUGGGGGACCUUCGGGCCUCAUGCCAUCAGAUGUGCCCAGAUGGGAUUAGCUAGUAGGUGGGGUAAUGGCUCACCUAGGCGACGAUCCCUAGCUGGUCUGAGAGGAUGACCAGCCACACUGGAACUGAGACACGGUCCAGACUCCUACGGGAGGCAGCAGUGGGGAAUAUUGCACAAUGGGCGCAAGCCUGAUGCAGCCAUGCCGCGUGUAUGAAGAAGGCCUUCGGGUUGUAAAGUACUUUCAGCGAGGAGGAAGGCAUUAAGGUUAAUAACCUUAGUGAUUGACGUUACUCGCAGAAGAAGCACCGGCUAACUCCGUGCCAGCAGCCGCGGUAAUACGGAGGGUGCAAGCGUUAAUCGGAAUUACUGGGCGUAAAGCGCACGCAGGCGGUCUGUCAAGUCGGAUGUGAAAUCCCCGGGCUCAACCUGGGAACUGCAUUCGAAACUGGCAGGCUAGAGUCUUGUAGAGGGGGGUAGAAUUCCAGGUGUAGCGGUGAAAUGCGUAGAGAUCUGGAGGAAUACCGGUGGCGAAGGCGGCCCCCUGGACAAAGACUGACGCUCAGGUGCGAAAGCGUGGGGAGCAAACAGGAUUAGAUACCCUGGUAGUCCACGCCGUAAACGAUGUCGACUUGGAGGUUGUGCCCUUGAGGCGUGGCUUCCGGAGCUAACGCGUUAAGUCGACCGCCUGGGGAGUACGGCCGCAAGGUUAAAACUCAAAUGAAUUGACGGGGGCCCGCACAAGCGGUGGAGCAUGUGGUUUAAUUCGAUGCAACGCGAAGAACCUUACCUGCUCUUGACAUCCACAGAACUUUCCAGAGAUGCAUUGGUGCCUUCGGGAACUGUGAGACAGGUGCUGCAUGGCUGUCGUCAGCUCGUGUUGUGAAAUGUUGGGGUUAAGUCCCGCAACGAGCGCAACCCUUAUCCUUUGUUGCCAGCGGGUCCGGGCGGGAACUCAAAGGAGACUGCCAGUGAUA